rnacentral:rRNA from 1 species
GUGGGGAAUAUUGCACAAUGGGCGAAAGCCUGAUGCAGCAACGCCGCGUGCGGGAUGACGGCCUUCGGGUUGUAAACCGCUUUCAGCAGGGACGAAGCGUGAGUGACGGUACCUGCAGAAGAAGCACCGGCUAACUACGUGCCAGCAGCCGCGGUGAUACGUAGGGUGCGAGCGUUGUCCGGAUUUAUUGGGCGUAAAGAGCUUGUAGGCGGUUGGUUGCGUCGAAAGUGCAAACUCAGGGCUUAACUCUGAGCCUGCUUUCGAUACGGGCUGGCUGGAGGAAGGUAGGGGAGAAUGGAAUUCCCGGUGGAGCGGUGGAAUGCGCAGAUAUCGGGAGGAACACCAGUGGCGAAGGCGGUUCUCUGGACCUUUCCUGACGCUGAGAAGCGAAAGCGUGGGGAGCAAACAGGCUUAGAUACCCCGGUAGUCC